rnacentral:rRNA from 1 species
CCUACGGGAGGCAGCAGUGAGGAAUAUUGGUCAAUGGACGAGAGUCUGAACCAGCCAAGUAGCGUGAAGGAUGACUGCCCUAUGGGUUGUAAACUUCUUUUAUAUGGGAAUAAAACGUUCCACGAGUGGGAUUUUGUAUGUACCAUAUGAAUAAGGAUCGGCUAACUCCGUGCCAGCAGCCGCGGUAAUACGGAGGAUCCGAGCGUUAUCCGGAUUUAUUGGGUUUAAAGGGAGCGUAGGUGGAUUGUUAAGUCAGUUGUGAAAGUUUGCGGCUCAACCGUAAAAUUGCAGUUGAAACUGGCAGUCUUGAGUACAGUAGAGGUGGGCGGAAUUCGUGGUGUAGCGGUGAAAUGCUUAGAUAUCACGAAGAACUCCGAUUGCGAAGGCAGUUCACUGGACUGCAACUGACACUGAGGCUCGAAAGUGUGGGUAUCAAACAGGAUUAGAUACCCGAGUAGUC